UUUUUCUUUUUUUUUUUAAGAUUUCAUUUAUUUAUUCAUAGAGACACAGAGACAGAGAGAGAGAGAGAGAGGCAGAGACACAGGCAGAGGGAGAAGCAGGCUCCAUGCAGGGAGCCUGACGUGGGACUUGAUCCCGGGCCUCCAGGAUCACACCCUGGGCUGCAGGCAGCGCUAAACCGCUGCACCACUGGGGCUGCCCUAAUUUUUCUAUUCCUGAAGUUCAUUGUAAUUUAUUUUUUAUAUCUCCCAUCUCUUUUUUCAAAUGUUCACGUCUUUCUUUAUAUACUUGAGCAUUAUAUUAAUAACUGUUCUAUCAUCCAUUACAUCCAGAAUUUCUAUAAUUUCUGGAUCUGUUUCUAUUGACUGCUUUUUUUCUCCUGGUUAGAGAUCACAUUUGCCUCCUUCUUAUUAUAUCCAGUAAAAGAAAACUUACCGGCUCUGGACAUUGUAGAUCUUACAUUAUUGACUAUCUGGAUUCUGUAAUGUUCUUUUAUAGAGGGUUGGGUUUUGUAUUCAGAAAUGCUUACAUCAUUCUCAAAUCAAAGUAAUCUUCCCAAGGACUGUUUUAAAGCUUUUCAAAGUAGUGCUAAAAUAGAUUUCACUCCAGGAAUAGUUUAGUCCUACUUCUAAGGUGUGACCUCUCAAGACUCACUACUAAAUGUCCCAACUAAUCUCCAAUGAUUCUCCACUAUAGAUGAUCAAGUUUGGAAACCUUCAUCUCUGUGGAAGCCGACAACUUCCCAGCAUUCGUUGAACAGUUUGUGCAAUUUUAGCCUGUGCAUGUGUGCAGCCCAGUACUCAUCAAAGAUUUGAAGCAAUCUUUAUAGAAAUUUCUAGAGGUUUUUUUUUCCUUUUUCCUAAAACUUCCUUAUUCCUGAAUAUGUUAAUAAAAUUUGAUAAAUUAAAUCAUAAAUGACCAUUAUUUCUUAAAACUACCCCAUAACAAACAACAAAUCUGAUUAUCAUUCAAAUGAUAACAUGUAUGACUACAUUAUUUAUAUUGAUAAUUUACAUAUACUUCAGUCAAUAAAGUGUAGAAAUGAAGUAUUAUUUCUUUGGUAUUUACUAACUGACAAGUAAUUUUAUUAUUAUCCAAGUAAUACAAUACAUUAUCAGUCCCAGCCUUGCAAUAUUGCUUCAGUGACAAUUUCUAAGUGGCAGCAGCAGUAGCUAGUUCAGAAAUUCUGUAGCUCCUAAAUGCUUGCCCUCCUUAAGAGCAAAUAUAUGCCCAGCCCAUUUCAGGUAGCAAAAUAUGCCUCUGUCUCAGUUUGGAUUCCCCAAAAUCAGGAUCUGAGAAAAGAAAUUUCAGUACAAGUAAUUUAUUUGGGAGGUGAUUCUAGAAAGAACAUUGUGGGAAUAGGAAAAUAAGACAUAAAAGGGAUAAAGCCAAUGAAUUGUGAAUUAAUGAAUUGUGGGUGGCUGGGGCUUAAUACUUCUGAGGAUAUUAUAAAAAAAUGGGUGGAAUAUACCUGAGAACUGUCCUUGUGAGGGAACAAAAAGCUGAAUUUUUUAUUUACUUACUUUCAUUCUUCGUUGGUUGAAGGCAGCUCCUGGAACAUUUGUUCCCAGAAUUGUUGGCCUAUUCCAGUUUUUACAGCAUUAGGGAAUAUAGCUAAGCUUAGUCCUGAAGCUAGACAAUGCUCUCAGGCAGUCACGGGAAUCCACCAAAAGUGUGUGGGAACCACCGGUAGGUGACCUUUAUGGUGGAUGAAGGGGAUAUGGGUGGGGCAUCAUCAGAGUUCCCCCUUUCCUUGGAAACAGGAAACUCAUUCAAAUCUCCUUUUCUGUUUACCCUAAUCAAGCAAAACAACAUUAAACACCAAAAAAGAAGGAGAAUAAUAUAAGUCACUGAUGGACGCUUGACCCUGAACAAUACUCGUGGGUAAGGAGAGAGGCAAAACAGUUACUAACAGUUGCUGAAUGGGCAAAGGUUAAAAAAAAAAAUAGUCUAUAAGCAAACCAAACUUUUGGCCUCUUCAGCAGAUUCCUUCCUUUAACCUUCUGUCCAUCUGGCAAGAGGUUUGUGGUGCAGCUGGUCUCUAUGGCAGUCAGACUCAUGGCUUUUGUAUUUAUAUUAGCAGUGGAUAAUGUAGUAUGAUUUUUUAAGGAAGGGACAUAGCCCUUAAGUCUGUUCCCAGAGAAUAGUUGUGGCCAUUGUUCUCUCAAUUCUUCACAAUUCACACCAAAGGAUGUGAAGGGAGGGAAAAAAACUUUCUAUAGCAUAUAAGUAACAUAAAGACUAGUCAAGCCGAAGGCCAUUAUGGUCAACUUAUUUUAAUUCCUGAAAGA
rnacentral:lncRNA from 1 species